AUGUAUAGCAAUAGCUACUUGCAUCAUUGUAAAUAUGAUGCAAGAUCGACUAUGUCGAAUAAAAUUCUAGGUAGAAUUAUGAUAAUGACAUUGUCUGCCUAUGUGUCUUGACCAAAUUACGUGCCAGCAGUCGCGGUAAUACGUAGAAGACUAGUGUUAUUCAUGUUUAAUCGGUUUAAAGGGUACCUAGACGGUAAAUCAAGCCUAAAAGGAGAUAAAUGAAGGGACUAAUUUACUAGAGUUACUUAUGAGGGGGUAUUAAAGUACUGCUGGUGUAGAGAUGAAAUUCUGUCAUACCUCUUUUCAAUAGAAAAAUAAUGGCACAGGUAUAGGCGAAAGCAUCCCCUUAUGUGAUAACUGACGUUGAGGGACGAAGGCUUUGUGUAGCGAACAGGAUUAGAUACCCCAGUAGUCAAAGCAGAAAAUGAUGAAUGUCAUAGAUUAGAUGUAUAAGUUUAUUCUAUAAAUGAAAGUGUAAGCAUUCCACCUCAAGAGUAAUUUGGCAACAUUGGAACUGAAAUCAUUAGACCGUUUCUGAAACCAGUAGUGAAGUAUGUUGUUUAAUUUGAUGAUCCGCAAAAAACCUUACCACAAUUUGAAUAUUUAUAUCUUUUAUUGUUUUUCUUUUUCUUUUUAGCUUUCUUCUGAUUUUUUACUUAAAAGAAAAACAAUAACAAGAAAAAAGAGGCAAUAAGAUAUAUUUACAAGCGUUGCACGGCUGUCUUCAGUUAAUGUCGCGAGACUCUGGUUAGUUCCAUAAAAUUAACGUAAACCCUUACUUUAUUUUUAUAUAGAGUAGUUCCCCGCUAUAUUGGAUAUGAUAACAGGGACUAAGAC
rnacentral:rRNA from 1 species